CCGUAUUGGGCGUAUCCCCGUAUCGCGUAUCCAAUACGUAUCCAAGUAUCCGUGCAACAUAGUCUAUGUCCAAAGAAAUGGUAAUAUAUCAUGUGGACUUACAUCUUAAAUAAUGUGUACAUCAGUGUGGAUUCACUAGCUUUAAUUAUUCUUGCUUGUAUCAUGUGUAUGUCACUUUGCAUUAUAAGUAUCACAAAUAGUUGACUAAAGAUUGAUUCAUGUUGUUCCUCCACUCUUUUAGACAAUGCUAUCUAUGUUCAUUGCCUGCCUUUUUGAACUAGUGUUGACAUUGCAUAGGUCACUGUUGAUUCACUGCCUUCUUUUGCUUGACUUGUUUGACCCAGGUACCUAAAGGUUGUACCAUGCCAAAAAUGAAAACGCAAAACUGAGAAGUUGUCGAGCAUCACCAAAAGACUGGAUCUAGGUCUUAUGUUUCCACUUUUAGUAAAAUUAAAAAAGCAAGUAUAAUAAUCAGGACCCAAGUCCCAUUGAGUAUUUCAAAGAGACCCAUACGAACAGCAAGACUGGCAGCAUGAGCGAGCCGGCACAUCUAGCCUAUAAUGCGACUAAAAAGAAAAGGGAAACACAAUCAGAAGGUGAGCAACCAGUGUCUGAUUCAAUGAUUGUGGCUGAAGUUCUAAAGGAAGAAAGCACCCAGAGCACCUUCCUUUCCAGCAUGAGUUAUGCAUCAAGAUCCGAGAGAUCUGGGACCUUUACUUCAUCAGCAUAGAUCUGAGUUCUAGAAUAAAGAAUUGAACAAAAGGAUGGCGAUGCGAGAGAUGCAAGGGACAGGCACCGAUAGGAGUUAGUGGUGAGACUUGAAGCACAAGAGAGAGCAUUUGAAGAGAUGUAGAGGAAGCAACACGAAGAAUUCAAAGAUGUGAAGAAGAUCCAGCAAGAGAAGAAUGAAGCUUGGCAAAAGAAGCAACAAGAGACGGAUAACCUGAUUGGUUUUCUCUUAAGUGCUCAAGCAACUCAGAAGUCCCAAUCCAAACCUAAUGGUGCAUGAAGGCCAUCCUUUUGCAAUGGAAAGAUAGUUGUUGAAUCAUAUAUUGCAAUCAUCAGGAUAACACAUGUAGUCUUUACUUAUCUAAAUAUUGGUUUUCAACUUGUCUAUUGUUGUCUCAAACUCAUGAGCUAGUGUUAUUUUUACUAUCAUUUAUGUUGAUAGGACGAUUGAGCUGA